AGCCCCCCACAGCGCACCAGCUAGUGUUGCCGGGACCGGAGGGACCUCUUGGUGGCCCUGGAUGUAGCAGCCUCCCGCUCCUUCUCAGGGUCGAAGACUUCUGGGCACAGAAAAGACCAGAAGGUGUCCCCUCAGUCCUGCCACCAGCCCCUCCCAGACCUCAGGGGGCAGCCCCCGAGCACCACAGGGACACGAACCUGGUAUCUCGUGGGGCCAGUAGUCAUUACAGUGGGGGCAGCGCGGCUCGGAAUUGGACUGGAAAUACUUCGCCACACAAGGUAAGUGCAUUCGGAUCCCACACGUCUCGCAGCUUUGACCCUGAAACCAGCAAGGGGAUGGCCAUGGAGCCUUGUGCACCCCUCUGAGCUCACAACCCUUCCACAGGGGCGAGGAGAAGGUCCAGCAGGCUCCAGAGUUUUGUCCUCCAGGCCUGAGAUGGACACGGAGAACCCCAAAGCCCUCAGCACAGGAGCGUGUAAGAAUCGUUACUAAAGAAUUCCGAGAGACGAAUGUAGAUGGAGGACACUCCAAACUCUAACAGCGGGGCGCCGGGUGGGUUAAGCGGCUGCCUGUGGCUCAGGUCAUGAGGCGUCCUGGGAUGGAGCCCUGCAGCAGGCUUUCUGCUCAGUGGGAAGCCUGGUUCUCCCUCUCCCUCUGCCCCCACCCGCUCCCCGCCACCGUGUUCUUUCUCUCGCAAAUAAAAAUCUUAAACAGAA